CACGUUGGAACCUGCCCCAAAGUGAGGAAUAAGCCACCGAAAGGUGGUCUAAUACUUCAUAAUAUCCAUCUCGUAUGGAUUAAAGCUUUAUGCGCUUUGGGAGGGGCCUGCGUAACAUUAGCUAGUUGGUGAGGUAAAAGCUCACCAAGGCUUCGAUGUUUAACUGGUUUGAGAGGAUGACCAGUCACACUGGGACUGAGAUACGGCCCAGACUCCUACGGGAGGCAGCAGUAAGGAAUCUUCCACAAUGGGGCAACCUGAUGGAGCAAUACCGCGUGCAGGAUGAAGCGUUUCGGCGUGUAAACUGCUUUUAUCACCGAAGAUUAUGACUGUAGGUGAAGAAUAAGGACCGGCUAACUACGUG
rnacentral:rRNA from 1 species